UGGGGAAUAUUGGACAAUGGGCGAAAGCCUGAUCCAGCCAUGCCGCGUGUGUGAAGAAGGUCUUCGGAUUGUAAAGCACUUUAAGUUGGGAGGAAGGGCAUUAACCUAAUACGUUAGUGUUUUGACGUUACCGACAGAAUAAGCACCGGCUAACUCUGUGCCAGCAGCCGCGGUAAUACAGAGGGUGCAAGCGUUAAUCGGAAUUACUGGGCGUAAAGCGCGCGGAGGUGGUUUGUUAAGUUGGAUGUGAAAUCCCCGGGCUCAACCUGGGAACUGCAUUCAAAACUGACUGACUAGAGUAUGGUAGAGGGUGGUGGAAUUUCCUGUGUAGCGGUGAAAUGCGUAGAUAUAGGAAGGAACACCAGUGGCGAAGGCGACCACCUGGACUAACACUGACACUGAGGUGCGAAAGCGUGGGGAGCAAACA
rnacentral:rRNA from 1 species